GGGCGCAUAGCUCAGGGGUAGAGCGCUCGCUUUGCAUGCGAGAGGUCGUGGGUUCGAAUCCCACUGUGUCCA
rnacentral:tRNA from 2 species